GGAAACUGAAACAUUUCCUGUAAAAGAAAAACACUCCGAUCCAACACGAACAAUAGAAAAUAAUAUUACAAUUUACUGUUAUUAUUAAUUCGGCGCCAUGUUAAUGGGUAGUAUCGAGUGCUAUUAAUUAAUUGAAUUAUCGCGUUAGUUUUCGUAGAUUAGUAAAGAAAACAUAUCCGAUAUCGUGUUGUGUAAUCAUCAAUGUGAAUUUGAACAAUGAUUGGGGCUAAAGUUGCACUUAGGAUUAGGAUUACGAAAAGUGUUACGUUUAGACUCCAUUUCCUGUGAUAUGAAGAUGGUUCGUUAGGAUGCCCGUGUUGAAAGAGAAACGUCAGAAAGAUCAAGAUCGUAUGGGAGGGAGAUGGUAGUCACAUUUUUCAGUUUUUCUUGGCUUUCCACACUUAUGAAGGGUGCUGUUGGGGAGUUUCGGUUCCACACUCAUGGAAGGAGAUCAUUCGAGAUGUUCCUGCUAGGAGAGGAAAGGUGGACAGGUGUGGUCACAACG